rnacentral:rRNA from 1 species
UGGGGAAUAUUGGACAAUGGGCGAAAGCCUGAUCCAGCCAUGCCGCGUGUGUGAAGAAGGUCUUCGGAUUGUAAAGCACUUUAAGUUGGGAGGAAGGGCAGUAAGUUAAUACCUUGCUGUUUUGACGUUACCGACAGAAUAAGCACCGGCUAACUCUGUGCAG